AUGGACAUUUCUGUUGCUCAAUAUGUAGCUUUCUAUGGGGUCAUACUUGUGAUUGGAUGGCUAUUACACUGGGUAUACAGAUGGAUUAACCCAGUUUGCAACGGGGUUCUUCCUCCCGGCUCCAUGGGAGUGCCAAUUAUUGGUGAGACCUUUGACUUCCUCAAGGCAAGCCAUUCCUUGGACAUCCCAGACUUUUUGAAACUAAGGAUGAAAAGGUACGGCCCGGUUUUCAAGACAAGCUUGCUGGGUCAGCCUGUAGUUAUUUCCACCGACGCAGAGGUGAAUCGAUUUGUUUUUCCGCACGAGGACACCUUGUUCAGUAUCGGGUACCCUUGGGUAGUGACUAAAAUAUUCGGUGAGAAGAGCAUCCAAGCCUUCCAUGGCUCAAUCCACAAGUUCGUCCGUAGAUGCACCUUCACACUGCUCGGCCUCCAAAGCCUCAGAGAGGUGCUCCUUCCUGAGAUGGAGGGCGCCGUCAGGGAGCGCCUUGCUGCAUGGGCCACCAUGCCGAGCGUCGACGUGCGCGGCGGUGCGCCUGACGUAAGUGCCUGCCUUGCCCUUGGUUUCAAUCCCAUUUCUCCUUUCUAUAAUUUGAGUUGCUCCAUCCAGCUGCAUGCAUGA
rnacentral:rRNA from 1 species